rnacentral:lncRNA from 1 species
GCUCAUUACCUGGUUCUGUGACUAGAGGGAAGGCCCCCCCUGCAAAGAAAGUUUUCUUCAACAGUGUCUCCCCAUAUUUGUAACCCGGUAUGGUGUAGAUCCCUAUACAGCCUCUGAGUAUGUGAUUUUUUUGUUAAUUAUUAGUUUAAUUAUGCUGCUUUGUAAAGGUUGCCUCAUAAUUUGUGAGUAAAGGAAUUCACAGAUAAAAUACAGCAGUGCAAUGAAGAGAAGGCCCGGUUUUUAGUGCCGGUUUUGCAAGUAAUAGCCUGGUGACUGUUAGCAAGUCACUUCAUCUUCCUCUGUCUCAGCAUCUCAUCUGUAAAAUGAUGAAGAUAAUAUCUGCCAGCCUAAUUAAGAGUUGUAAGGCUCAAGUAAAAGAAUAGCAAGGAAAGUGCUUUAUAAACUGUCAGUCACUAUACAAAUAGAAAUGAUGAAUGCUGGUAGAGAAUUGUGGAAAUAUACUGGAGGCAUUAAAAGCUUAUAAUAAAUGCUUUCACUUCUCAAAAAUCUUGCCUAUCCAGACUAAACCUAGGUAUCUUUAUUAUAACCCAGUUCCUUAAAUCCCAGUCUGAGCUUGAACUUGAAAUGUUCUGGGAUAACUAGAAUCUAAAAAAUUGAGUUUUAGGGAGUUCCCAUCGUUGCUGCCGANGCGUGUUUUUUUGAGAAAUUUUUGUAAGUAUUUGUAAACAUAUUUCCGAAGUCCUCUAUAAGCUUCUUAAGGUCAGGAAUCAUAUUUCUUAGGUCUUUGUUUUCCUAGUAAUUGGCAAGCUCAGUGCUCAGAACUCAAGAGAGGCUUGUGGAAUACAUUUGAACUAAAGAAUGUUUCUUUUAGUCAUGUUAAGGCUUUUCAUGUUUCUUUUCCUAACAGAAUAUUAGAGUUUGCCCCCUGAUGCUGUGCUCUUCACUUUUUAAUCACACUCCUUAUUUUGAAAAUAAGUUUCUAUUAUGUACCCGUGAAUUAAAUCUUUUCUUUUAAUACUGUAGUUCCGGGGUAGAACAUAUUGAUAUUGUAAUAAUGUUGUUUCCCACAGUUAGGAAGUGCCACAAUGAUGUAGUUUCACCCUUUGAGCUGAAUAGGGCCAUACUUUAAAAAAUGUGUAUUUUUAAUUGAGGUUUCAAUCACAUAACAAUUAAAUUUUCCAUCUUAAACAUUUUGAAGUGUAUAGUUCAGUAGCGUUGCACAGUGGACUCUAGAACAUUUUCACCUUGCAAAACUCAAAUUCUAAGCCUGUUAAACACUAGUUUCUCCUCCUUUCUACAUGCUGUUUCUGUGAUUUUGGCUAUUUCAGAUACUUCAUAGACAAGUAUUUUUAAAAGAUACGUUGAUGCAUUAGUUUUUAUUUAUGUCUUUCAAAGUCAUAUUGCAAAUCUGGAUCAUGUAACACUAAUGAUGUUUUCAUUCUGAUUCAUAUACGACAAAACCAGAUACUAAUUUUCUUUAAGAAGCAUCAGGAAUUUUUCCUUGCUAAAGGUAAACAGUAAGACAAUGAGUGAAAAACACAUUUUCUAUCAUUUGUAAAGGAGUUGGUUCUAUUCUAAAGCAAACGAGGUUUAGGUAAGGAAAGAAACAACAUGAUAUAUAUUUUUAAAAAUGCCUCUUGUCAAAGAGCCGCUUUAAUUGGAAAGCUCUUUCUUUUCUAAGGGGAUUGUAGAAACCAUCUUUUCACUUUUGCAGAUAAGAAUGGGAUCGCUAGAUCGGUGGUUCUCAAACUUGAGUAACAGAAUCACCAGGAGAGCUGCUAGGCCAAACCUCCAGAGCUGCUGACUCAGUAGGUUAGGAGAAAAACCUGAGGCGUUGCCUUUUAACAAGUUCCCAGGUGAUGCUGCUGAUGCUCUGGGCCGAAGGACCACAACUGGAGAACUCUUGGUCUGGAGCAGUGCUUCCCAGGAUACUCCCUGAGGUACUUCCAGAUCGUUUGUUAAGACCUGUCUGAUGGGUUUGAAAAUGACCUUCUGGUUGCAUGUGAAAGACUCCUUGUGAUCCUGCCUUCAAAUAGCUGCUUUCAACCUUGUUUCCAGUAUUUCCUAAAGUUUCCUAAAUUGACAUGAUUGCAGAACCAUCUUUUUACGAACAUCUGUUACCUUUUGCGGGGCCCUGAUACUCUAUUGCGUAAUUUGAAAGGUGCUCUUUAGGAUAAAAAACUAAUAAAGUAUAAGGUUCAGUGUUAUGGCUGAGAGUAUAAGGUCCUAAAAUUCAUGGCGAGGCGGGGCAGUGGGUGAUUCAUCUCUCUGCCUUAUCUUUCAGUGAUUUAACUCCAUGUCCUAAUGUGGAGAGGAAGAAAAAGGAUUUGUUAAAUCCAGUACUUUAAGGUCCUUCAGAGAUAGUAAAGACAAGGAAAUCAAACAAAACUUGGCUUCCUUUUACUGCCGUGUUUGAGGCUUGUAAGGAAAAGUUCUGUCACCGUAUCUGAAAUGAAUUGUUGGGUUUUUGGUUAUGAUCUGUGUACAUUUCACAGUCAUAGACCCACACAGAUGGGUUGAAUGUAGGACCGUUGAGGCAAAUGCCCAGGCCGAUGGCAAAAUGGAGAGGCUUAAUGACACCUGUCUGAGUGUGAAAUGUACCAGGCGGCCUGCCCUAGACGGGAGUACCAAGGCGGUCAUUAAACGCGUCUGUGGUUAUCCUGUGGGUCCCCUGAAUGGGUCUUUUCACCCGUGUGCCUGAGGUGAGAUUUCUGCCCGUGGUUAGCAUCCUCCAGAGGCCUCAGGCUCACACGUGGAAGGAGGGGACCAAAGCGCUCCCUCUAGGAACGUCUCUCCCAGAAACCGUCUUCCUGUUCCGGCUGGACCUUUGUUAAUUCCCUCAGCAAACUCAGCUUUGCAAACAUCCCAUUCCUUGAAUGCAUAUGAUAAUCUCCUGUUUGAGGAUUUUUUUUAACCACUCCAAAAAAAAAAAAAA